AAGGGGAUCCAGCGUUCAAGUUCUUCAAGCUGAGGCUAAUUCUGCUCUGUGCGUGGGCAUCGACCUCUCCAUCCAUACUCGAACACCACCGGCCUCGACAGCAUAACAAUGUCAUUGUUGGCUGUAGCCCCAGCUUCAACUGUGUCCGACCUCAUCAAGGAGCUCUUCCUCGAUGCCAGCCUAGCUGCUGCAGUUUCACUUGACAGCAAAAUCUAUCCCUGCUACACCAAAAUAUCCCCUAUCCUCAGUAGAAGCGUCUACAGUCUGUUCAACGAAAUGCUUGUACCGUUCUAUGAGGAUUAAUAUAGAAGUACUACAGAGUUGUCCAACUUUUAUCCUUUAUAUGGAUGUAUAAAGCUCUCUAACUAGCCAGCAUCUCAAUAAGUCAAUGGGGGCAGGCUACUCAAAUGGUCCUUUCUCUAUACUCGUCUCUUUUUAAAUGUUUUUUUGGAAUGAAAGCUAAACCUUGCAUUUUGACUAGUCCACGUUGAAACUAGCUUGAUGAGGUCACAUUGUAUCCUUUUGCUGGGUUAUUUUCAGAUUCCUAUAUGAGACUAAAUACAAUAUCCUUUGCUAAUCAUAGAUAUAUAUUAUUUUUUGUCACUCGGAAUUAGUGCACUUUAUCACUAGAACUAGUAAUAUCAUUGCCAUAAUAAUUGUUUAUAACAUUGAUACAAUAGGGUAUCAUAACAUCAGCACUAUAGACCUAGGUUAUCUUGUUUUUACUAAACACAGUGUCCUUUUCCCAAUCAUGCAGGUAUAUUAUUUUUUCUCCCCAUUAGUUGAACAUCAACUUUUUUAUAUUUUCUAGCUUAAAGUUUGUGUCGAGGCUAAAAUUCUUCAGUUUAUACCCAUAGUUUGAAUGCUAGAUCAAAGUUCUAUAUUUAUAAUUUGUAAGUUUGCAACAUUUCAAACAAAGGUUUUGAAGUGCAAUAUGAGAGUUGAUAAUUUGAGAUAUAGAUAAUAUUCUAUAUAUAGGUUACAAUUUUUAUAUGUAAGAUUAAAAAAUUUAUAAUUGGCUAGUACAAAGUCCCCAACUUUAGAAUGCAAAGUUUUUAGUUAAAAAGUUAAUGAUUUUGUAGCACAAAGUUCUGUAUUUUAGAGUAAAUUUUUUGAUGAUGUGACAACACAAAGUUUAUGAAUACUUUUUGUUUUUGAAGGUACUACCUUGCGGUGCCUAGCAUUAUCUAUCAGAAAAUAAACUAAUACUUUUUGAGUUGUGGUAUUUUCGCAAUUUUGCCAAGGCAUUUGCAUCGCAGGGUAUCUUUUUUGUUUUGACUAAACUAUGGUGAAUUCAAUUUUGUGAGUUUGGUGACCAUGAUGUGUCCAUGUUAACAAAAAACUUACUAAACUCCCAUUUUGCACAGGCCAAGCCAAGGCUCAUUGAUAGCUCUAAAAUAAGAUUUUGGACCACAAUACUUCUUAACCAUUUAUGUGAGAUCAAGACCCAUUGAUUUCUAUGAAAAAAAUUUAUACAUAUGUGUUUCAAAAUACAUUGGUAUUAAGUUCCUGAAUUUAGAUGCUAAGUUUGUUGUAUUUAUAAACUUUUAAAGUUCGGAGUACAAAGUUAGUAAUGUUAUAUUUCUAAAGCUCAUAUGUUCUAAUGUUCAAGGUUGUAACGUUUUUCAGAUAAAUUUUUAGAACCGAGAGACACAAAGUUUAUGAUUUGCCAGGACAAAGUUCCCAAUAUGGAAAUUUAAAGUUUUUUAGGUAUGAAGUAUUAGAUCUAAAAGUACAAAGUUUUAAAUGUUCUAUCACAAAGUCCCAGAUUUUUUGAAGAGUAAAGUUGGAUUCACGAGAGUACAAACUUUGUAACAUGCUAGUUGAAAGUUUUCUAACUUUGGCGGCAAAGUUCAUAAUUUAUUUUACUAAUUUUUUUACAAGUCCAAAGUUACUGAAUUUAGUGUUCAUUUUUUAUUUCAGUAGAAAGCUUUUAUGUAAAAAAGUUAUAUACCAAUUUGUAAAAGAUUUUAAAUAACAUCUAUAGAGUUUCAUAUGUAGUAGUAUAGAUUUUUAAAUUUAAUUAUAGAAAGUUCUUAAAUUUAGUGCACAAUGUUUUGGAAUUACAAAGCUGUGGACUCCGGUGUAGAAAGUUUGAAAAUAUAUUUGUAGAUGUUUCUGAAUUUCAAGUGCAAGAUUUGAAUUAAAGUUUUGAAUUUGGGAGUACAAAAUUUAAAUGGGGUUGAUUGCAAAUUUUUGGAGCUAAUAAAAUUUAUUAACGUGAUAGUAAAAGGUUCAUAGAAUCAGGUUCGAAAGCUUUGGAACUAACAAAUUAUUAUUGUACUACAAAGUUUAUUGUUUCAGAUUUGAUAGUUUUUUAGAACUAUAAAGUUAUUAAUGUGCUUGUACAAAGUUUCACAAUUUUCAUAUUUGAAAGCUUUUUACAACUACAAAGUUAUUAUUGUGCUAUUACAAACUUGAUUUUCCUUAUUUAAAGGAAUGAUAAGGUUUUAUAUCUAGAUAUACAAAGCCCCCAAUAUUUAUAAUACACUUGCAUUCUCUUUUUUCUUUUUAUUUCCAAUAUUUUUUCCUGUACAACAAUAUUUUAAAUACAAUUGUGGUUUCCCACUGGAAGAUGCAAAACCAUGCAACAAAAAGUAUGAUACCCUUGUAGAAACCAUAAAAAUUACUAAACAUGCAUGUAAGUUUUGCUAUGCAUAUUUUUUGUUCAUCUUUUUAAAACCAAUUAUAUAAGUUGAGCGCAAGAGUUACAAUUUUUCUCAUUUUCAAUUUUUUCAGGGUAUUAUCAUUGGGUUCUGUAAGUGAAGAUCUAAUUUAUGGUUAAAAAAGAUAACAAUUGGAUGAACAACAUGGACGUGCAAUCAUUUUUUUUCUUUUAUUCUACGCUCUAGAACAACAGUCAAUCUAUUUUUUUUAUCCUCUUAUACUAUGACACAUCUUCUUUCUUUUUUAUCAAAUCUCAUGGUCUUUUUA